UUUAACGGCCGCGGUACUCUGACCGUGCGANNCNNUANNNAUGAAUCAUUUGCCUUAUAAUUGAAGGCUAGUAUGAAUGGUUUGACAAGAGUAUAGCUGUCUCUUUACAACUUAGUAGAAUUUUAUUUUUAGGUGAGAAAGCCUAGAUUGAAUUAAAAGACAAGAAGACCCUAUCGAGCUUUAAAGAAGUUAGUAGAUGCUUGUUUUUAUUUAUAGAAAAUGUGGCUAUUAAAUAUUUUGGUUGGGGCGACUAAGGAACAUGGAAAGCUUCCUUUAGUAGAAUUAUAAGGACGUACGGGUGUUGAUCCAUAGUUAGUGAUUAAAGGAAUUAGUUACCGUAGGGAUAACAGCAUUAUCUUUUUUGAGAGUUCUAAUCGAAAAAAGGGUUUGUGACCUCGAUGUUGGACCAGAAUGUCCUGAAGAUGCAGAAGUCUUCAAGGGUUGGUCUGUUCGACCAUUAAAAUUCUA
rnacentral:rRNA from 1 species